rnacentral:misc_RNA from 1 species
CAACCCUCAGGCCCCCGGGCCUGGUGUUGGGGAUCGGCGGAGCCCCCCGGGGCACACGCCGUCCCCUAAAUUCAGUGGCGGUCUCGCUGCAGCCUCCAUUGCGUAGUAGCUAACACCUCGCAACUGGAAGGCGGCGCGGCCACGCCGUAAAACCCCCAACUUCUGAA